GGGUGAGUAACACGUGGGCAAUCUGCCCUGCACUCUGGGACAAGCCCUGGAAACGGGGUCUAAUACCGGAUACUGACCCUCGCAGGCAUCUGCGAGGUUCGAAAGCUCCGGCGGUGCAGGAUGAGCCCGCGGCCUAUCAGCUAGUUGGUGAGGUAAUGGCUCACCAAGGCGACGACGGGUAGCCGGCCUGAGAGGGCGACCGGCCACACUGGGACUGAGACACGGCCCAGACUCCUACGGGAGGCAGCAGUGGGGAAUAUUGCACAAUGGGCGAAAGCCUGAUGCAGCGACGCCGCGUGAGGGAUGACGGCCUUCGGGUUGUAAACCUCUUUCAGCAGGGAAGAAGCGAAAGUGACGGUACCUGCAGAAGAAGCGCCGGCUAACUACGUGCCAGCAGCCGCGGUAAUACGUAGGGCGCAAGCGUUGUCCGGAAUUAUUGGGCGUAAAGAGCUCGUAGGCGGCUUGUCACGUCGGUUGUGAAAGCCCGGGGCUUAA
rnacentral:rRNA from 1 species